CAACCCUUACGCCUCUGUUGCGUAGCGUUGGGAGCCUCUGUACCGCCUCUGCGCGGUACACUCCCCAAAGUCAGUGGCAGAGUCACGGCACACUCUGAGCGUAGUAAUCAUUAUCUCGCUUCUGCUGGUGCCAUGGCGAUCGCCAUAAGCCUUCUAUAUUCUAGU
rnacentral:misc_RNA from 1 species